GGUGACGUCCGAAGUGCGUGGCGGACCGACUGCAAAUUGCAGGCUGCAACGGCGGCGCCGCGUGCGAUUCGAGGCUAACUUAUCCCCGGGUCCCCGAGAAAGCUGCGCCGCACCGUUCCGGCGCCUACGGAGGCCGCGUGGGGCGGUGCACACGGCUACCGUGAUCAAGAAGUAGGUGGAGAAGGACAACGCGCGAGCGCGAGCCCCGUGCUUAUGCGAGUGCAUACGUGCUACUCGGUGCAUGCGCCUGCGUCCGCGAUAACGCGCCAACCGGUGACUUAACAAUGGAAAACCGACCGACAAAAACUGGUCGCCGUAUCGGCGAAACGGUAACCGAACUGCCAGCACUGCCAGUGACGCUCUCCGUCGGCUUGACUCGUCGGCGACGUCUCGUUUCGAUGUUGCUCGGUGGUCUUAAAGAUCAUGGUAAGCGAUGCGAUUUUGCAUUUAUGGGGAAAAUGACCGGAGGAGGUACCGAAUUGGAGAGAAUAUAGAAUAACAUUGGAAUUCCAUUUCGAAGACUCACUAUCCAGCUGUAAGAUUGGUUCAAGGAAUGGUCUGGGUGCGGUGAGUCAACGCGCGGGAACGGCGACGAAUCAUCGUCAAUUUCACCAGCGCGCUGAGCUAUGCCAACCGGCGCGGCCCAGCUCGGCGACCAGUGACGUAAUCGCAUCGCGAAGGCACCAUUGGCCCUUUUAUCGUGCCCGUCGCCGCAAGAACGAUCUGCUUUUCUGCAAUGCAAAAGAAGGGGAAGGAGUAACGAUCCUCGGGUGCCGAUUUCCCACAUACGCAACGAGCCGCCGCCACUUCCAGACCCCGUUGAUCCCUUUCUCGCCUUCCUCGUGGCUCUUCGUAUCAUUCUACCAGUUUGCUGUAUCAUUAUCCACGCCCAUCGUUCGAGCCAUUCAAUUCGCAGCGAAUUGAAGGACAGAAAUGCACGCUAUUACAGACGUUAACAGUGUUUGAACUGUAUUAAAAACGAACACGCGAAUCGUAGCACGACACCAAUAUUUCAAAUAUUUUCCUUGGACUGCUGACCAUGGUUUACAUAUUUUUCUGCUAUGUAAUACGAAUAAUGCGUUCGAGAAAAUGAAUGAGCUUGACUACCUUGCACGAGUUAUCCACGAUAGUAUGGGACCUCGCGCAUACUUGAAAACGAACGUCGAUAGAGUUCGCAGUGGCAGAAUAAAUAGCAAUUAACAGAACAGGUGACCCUGUACAGGUUGUUAGAGCCAGCGGCAAGUAAGAUGGAAGAAGCGUGCACGGUAAUAUGUUACAAGGACACGAUAGUUGUCGCAGCUGCCAUACUCGUAUCGGCGAUAUUUCUUCUAUACUGAACCGUUAAGUGUCACUGUCCAUAACAGAGGAAAAGACUUUUUCUGCGCAGGGAAGUUAGCUCCGGUUGUGACGCCUCGCUUCAUCAAGGUACCUUGUCACGAUGCAGAGACAAUGAUCCUAUAAAGAGGACUAUUUGUCGGUGGUCCGUGCAGGUCUGUGCUUUUUACCGGUUGAUUAUUAAUCAACUCCACUCCUGCAUUUUUCAAGGAAAACCUUUUCGCGAAGAUCAGUACAUAAUAAUAGUUCUUUUAAGAUUUCAGAUCAAUCGACGGGAGCGUCAUGAAAAACUCCUAAAAAAAAAUGGCAACAAUUUCAUUCACACUUCAAUAAAAUAUUUCGAUUAAUA